AGUGGCGAACGGGUGAGUAACGCGUGAGCAACCUGACCUUUUGAGGGGGAUAACAACCGGAAACGGUUGCUAAUACCGCAUAAGACCACGCUGUCGCAUGGCAGAGGGGUCAAAGGAGCAAUCCGCAGAAGGAGGGGCUCGCGUCCCAUUAGAUAGUUGGUGAGGUAACGGCCCACCAAGUCAGCGAUGGGUAGCCGAGCUGAGAGGCUGAUCGGCCACACUGGAACUGAGACACGGUCCAGACUCCUACGGGAGGCAGCAGUGGGGAAUAUUGGGCAAUGGGGGAAACCCUGACCCAGCAACGCCGCGUGAGUGAAGAAGGCCUUCGGGUUGUAAAGCUCUGUCGCAGGGGACGAAGAAAAUGACGGUACCCUGUGAGGAAGCCCCGGCUAACUACGUGCCAGCAGCCGCGGUAAUACGUAGGGGGCGAGCGUUGUCCGGAAUUACUGGGCGUAAGGGUGCGUAGGUGGCUAUUUAAGUUGGAUGUGAAAUCCCCGGGCUUAACUUGGGUGGUGCAUUCAAAACUGGAUGGCUAGAGUGCAGGAGAGGGAAGCGGAAUUCCUAGUGUAGCGGUGAAAUGCGUAGAUAUUAGGAGGAACACCAGUGGCGAAGGCGGCUUUCUGGACUGUAACUGACACUGAGGCACGAAAGCGUGGGGAGCAAACAGGAUUAGAUACCCUGGUAGUCCACGCU
rnacentral:rRNA from 1 species